rnacentral:piRNA from 1 species
UUUCAGAGUAACAAAAACUGUUGGCACC